rnacentral:misc_RNA from 1 species
UCAAACUUGGUCAUUUAGAGGAAGUAAAAGUCGUAACAAGGUUUCCGUAGGUGAACCUUCGGAAGGAUCAUUACAGUUUUUUGGCGGUCCGGCCCGCGCAAGCGAACCGGCCGCCAUCAACCUCCACCCUUGAUUUUGAGCACCUUCGUUUCCUCGGCGGGUUCGCCCGCCAGCGAGGACCCCCUUGAAUUCUUUGCAGUAGCAGUUUUUGUCUGAAAUACAAACAAACAAUCAAAACUUUCAACAAUGGAUCUCUUGGUUCUGGCAUCGAUGAAGAACGCAGC